rnacentral:rRNA from 1 species
UACGUAGGGUGCAAGCGUUAUCCGGAUUCACUGGGUUUAAAGGGUGCGUAGGCGGGCAGGUAAGUCAGUGGUGAAAUCUCCGAGCUUAACUCGGAAACUGCCAUUGAUACUAUUUGUCUUGAAUAUUGUGGAGGUAAGCGGAAUAUGUCAUGUAGCGGUGAAAUGCUUAGAUAUGACAUAGAACACCAAUUGCGAAGGCAGCUUACUACACAAUGAUUGACGCUGAGGCACGAAAGCGUGGGGAGCAAACAGG